rnacentral:rRNA from 1 species
UAAGGUCACGGUGAGACGAGCCGUUUAUCAUUACGAUAGGUG